GACGAACCGUGCGAACGUUAUUCGGAAUCACUGGGCUUAAAGGGCGCGUAGGCGGGCUCGCAGGUCAGGGGUGAAAGCCCACGGCUCAACCGUGGAAGUGCCUUUGAUACCGUGAGUCUCGAGGGAGGUAGGGCGUGCGGAACUUCCGGUGGAGCGGUGAAAUGCGUAGAUAUCGGAAGGAACAUCGGUGGCGAAAGCGGCGCGCUGGACCUCUUCUGACGCUGAGGCGCGAAAGCCAGGGGAGCAAACGGG
rnacentral:rRNA from 1 species